rnacentral:rRNA from 1 species
AUUGAACGCUGGCGGCAUGCCUUACACAUGCAAGUCGAACGGCAGCACGGGAGCUUGCUCCUGGUGGCGAGUGGCGAACGGGUGAGUAAUGCAUCGGAACGUACCCAGGAGUGGGGAUAACGUAGCGAAAGUUACGCUAAUACCGCAUAUUCUGUGAGCAGGAAAGCGGGGGAUCGCAAGACCUCGCGCUCUUUGAGCGGCCGGUGUCGGAUUAGCUAGUUGGUGAGGUAAAGGCUCACCAAGGCGACGAUCCGUAGCUGGUCUGAGAGGAUGAGCAGGCACACUGGGACUGGGACACGGCCCAGACUCCUACGGGAGGCAGCAGUGGGGAAUUUUGGACAAUGGGGGCAACCCUGAUCCAGCCAUGCCGCGUGAGUGAAGAAGGCCUUCGGGUUGUAAAGCUCUUUCGGCGGGGAAGAAAUCGCAUCUCCUAAUACGGGGUGUGGAUGACGGUACCCGCAUAAGAAGCACCGGCUAACUACGUGCCAGCCGCCGCAGUAA